rnacentral:tRNA from 1 species
ACUAAAAUGGCAGAUAGAUGUGUAAGAUUUAAGCUCUUAUUAGGGGAAUUUUUUCCCUUUUAGUA